UGGGGAAUAUUGGACAAUGGGCGAAAGCCUGAUCCAGCCAUGCCGCGUGUGCGAAGAAGGCCUUUUGGUUGUAAAGCACUUUAAGUGGGGAGGAAAAGCUUAUGGUUAAUACCCAUAAGCCCUGACGUUACCCACAGAAUAAGCACCGGCUAACUCUGUGCCAGCAGCCGCGGUAAUACAGAGGGUGCAAGCGUUAAUCGGAAUUACUGGGCGUAAAGCGCGCGUAGGUGGUUAUUUAAGUCAGAUGUGAAAGCCCCGGGCUUAACCUGGGAACUGCAUCUGAUACUGGAUAACUAGAGUAGGUGAGAGGGGAGUAGAAUUCCAGGUGUAGCGGUGAAAUGCGUAGAGAUCUGGAGGAAUACCGAUGGCGAAGGCAGCUCCCUGGCAUCAUACUGACACUGAGGUGCGAAAGCGUGGGUAGCAAACAGGAUUAGAUACCCUGGUAGUCCACGCCGUAAACGAUGUCUACCAGUCGUUGGGUCUUUUAAAGACUUAGUGACGCAGUUAACGCAAUAAGUAGACCGCCUGGGGAGUACGGCCGCAAGGUUA
rnacentral:rRNA from 1 species